CAUUACCGAGUGCGGGCCCCUCGGGGCCCAACCUCCCACCCGUGUUGCCCGAACCUAUGUUGCCUCGGCGGGCCCCGCGCCCGCCGACGGCCCCCCUGAACGCUGUCUGAAGUUGCAGUCUGAGACCUAUAACGAAAUUAGUUAAAACUUUCAACAACGGAUCUCUUGGUUCCGGCAUCGAUGAAGAACGCAGCGAAAUGCGAUAACUAAUGUGAAUUGCAGAAUUCAGUGAAUCAUCGAGUCUUUGAACGCACAUUGCGCCCUCUGGUAUUCCGGAGGGCAUGCCUGUCCGAGCGUCAUUGCUGCCCUCAAGCCCGGCUUGUGUGUUGGGCCCCGUCCCCCCCGCCGGGGGGACGGGCCCGAAAGGCAGCGGCGGCACCGCGUCCGGUCCUCGAGCGUAUGGGGCUUCGUCACCCGCUCUAGUAGGCCCGGCCGGCGCCAGCCGACCCCCAACCUUUAAUUAUCUCAGGUUGACCUCGGAUCAGGUAGGGAUACCCGCUGAACUUAAGCAUAUCAAUAAGCGGAGGAAAAGAAACCAACCGGGAUUGCCCUAGUAACGGCGAGUGAAGCGGCAAGAGCUCAAAUUUGAAAGCUGGCCCCCUCGGGGUCCGCAUUGUAAUUUGCAGAGGAUGCUUCGGGAA
rnacentral:rRNA from 1 species